AACAUCCAGACCCGUUCUCUCACCUAGUUUCUUUCCAUUCUUGUACCUACUGGUUGGCAAUACCAGAGUUUAAUCAAGCCAAGAAUGCACUCGAACUCAAGUCUACAAUAGUAGCAGGUAUUCAUAGAACUACAACCAGAAAUGAGGAGUAUGAAUCUCGGGCGGAGUAUUUAGUCUGAGUGCAGUUUGAAGUCGGAGCAACUAUUACCAUGCGGCUUUUCCAGUCUCUCAGAGCCUGGUCCCCACCUGACAUUAGUCUAAGGUUUGGACCCUCUGACCAGGAUAGCCUAUCCGUUACGUCGUGGCUUGCGGAAAAUAGAUGUUCAUGGAUGGCUCUUAGAAGUCGUAUCACGCCUUGGCGCUAAUCCCGAGAAAGCUGGGCUGGCUUUGCUAAUAGCCUACCAAUGUCGCGGUUUGCAUUAACCGUUAUACCAUUUAUUUUUAUUUAUUUCUUAUUCAUUAUUGUGAUGGUCGAAAAUAUGUUCGCGUAUAACAGUUUGAAGAUAAUUGUGGUAACUGUUAUACAAUGAGAGAAUACACAAUUUUUAAAAAUAUAUUUGUGUAUAAUAGUUGUUUUAUAAUUGCGUUAAUUGUUAUAAUAUGUUUCAUGACUAUCUGCACAUUCUAAAAUGACAUAUAGAAAUAUCGGGUGUAAAAUUUUUAUUCCGCCCCAAACAUUUUUUUGUAGAACACUUCCUAACAAAAUGGCAGACUUAUUACUAUUUGUUUUUACAUCCUAUGAAGAAAAUAUAAAUUGUAAUAUAAAUAAAAAAUAUAUUUCUGUAUAACA